rnacentral:rRNA from 1 species
UACAGAGGGUGCAAGCGUUGUUCGGAAUUAUUGGGCGUAAAGCGCGUGUAGGCGGCUUUGCAAGUCGGGUGUGAAAGCCCUCAGCUCAACUGAGGAAGUGCGCCCGAAACUGCAGAGCUUGAGUGCCGGAGAGGGUGGCGGAAUUCCCCAAGUAGAGAUGAAAUUCGUAGAUAUGGGGAGGAACACCGGUGGCGAAGGCGGCCACCUGGACGGUAACUGACGCUGAGACGCGAAAGCGUGGGGAGCAAACAGG